rnacentral:tRNA from 1 species
GGGCUGUAGCUUGGUGGCAGAGUGCUUGCCUAGUAUGCGUGAGGCACUGAGUUGGAUCCUCAGGAGCACCA